UGUGACCCGNUCAACAUUCCUACUUUAC
rnacentral:piRNA from 1 species